GUAGCGGUGAAAUGCGUAGAGAUCUGGAGGAAUACCGGUGGCGAAGGCGGCCCCCUGGACGAAGACUGACGCUCAGGUGCGAAAGCGUGGGGAGCACACAGGAUUAGAUACCCUGGUAGUACACGCCGUAAACGAUGUCGACUUGGAGGUUGUGCCCUUGAGGCGUGGCUUCCGGAGCUAACGCGUUAAGUCGACCGCCUGGGGAGUACGGCCGCAAGGUUAAAACUCAAAUGAAUUGACGGGGGCCCGCACAAGCGGUGGAGCAUGUGGUUUAAUUCGAUGCAACGCGAAGAACCUUACCUGGUCUUGACAUCCACAGAACUUGGCAGAGAUGCCUUGGUGCCUUCGGGAACUGUGAGACAGGUGCUGCAUGGCUGUCGUCAGCUCGUGUUGUGAAAUGUUGGGUUAAGUCCCGCAACGAGCGCAACCCUUAUCUUUUGUUGCCAGCGGUUCGGCCGGGAACUCAAAGGAGACUGCCAGUGAUAAACUGGAGGAAGGUGGGGAUGACGUCAAGUCAUCAUGGCCCUUACGACCAGGGCUACACACGUGCUACAAUGGCGCAUACAAAGAGAAGCAAUCUCGCGAGAGCUAGCGGACCUCAUAAAGUGCGUCGUAGUCCGGAUUGGAGUCUGCAACUCGACUCCAUGAAGUCGGAAUCGCUAGUAAUCGUGAAU
rnacentral:rRNA from 1 species